AGUGAACGCUGGCGGCGUGCCUAAUACAUGCAAGUCGAACGGAGUUGCGCACGGGUGAGUAAUAUAUUGCUAAUCUGCCCCUUUCUCGAGGACAACAGUUAGAAAUGACUGCUAAUACUCCAUAGCGAGGGUUGAGACUUUAUCGUAUCAGCUAGUCGGUGGGGUCACGGCCUACCGAGGGUAUGACGCGUAACUGGUCUGAGAGGAUGAUCAGUCACAGUGGAACGGAGACACGGAUCAAGCUCCUACGGGAGGCAGCAGUAGGGAAUAUGGCGCAAUGGGGGAAACCCUGACGCAGCAACGCCGCGUGGAGGUUGACACUUUUCGGAGCGUAAACUCCUGUUGUUAGGGAAGCGGUACCUAACGAAUAAGCACCGGCUAACUCCGUGCCAGCAGCCGCGGUAAUAC
rnacentral:rRNA from 1 species